rnacentral:rRNA from 1 species
AUUGAACGCUGGCGGCAUGCCUUACACAUGCAAGUCGAACGGCAGCACGGGGGCAACCCUGGUGGCGAGUGGCGAACGGGUGAGUAACGCAUCGGAAUGUACCCAGUAGUGGGGGAUAACUAGUCGAAAGAUUAGCUAAUACCGCAUACGUCCUGAGGGAGAAAGCGGGGGGACCGAAAGGCCUCGCGCGAUUGGAGCGGCCGAUGUCGGAUUAGCUAGUUGGUGGGGUAAAGGCCUACCAAGGCGACGAUCCGUAGCGGGUCUGAGAGGAUGAUCCGCCACACUGGGACUGAGACACGGCCCAGACUCCUACGGGAGGCAGCAGUGGGGAAUUUUGGACAAUGGGGGCAACCCUGAUCCAGCCAUGCCGCGUGAGUGAAGAAGGCCUUCGGGUUGUAAAGCUCUUUCAGACGGAAAGAAAACGCAUCGGUGAAUACCCGAUGUGGAUGACGGUACCGUAAGAAGAAGCACCGGCUAACUACGUG